AAAUAAAAAGAAAUAAAAACAAAGCAAAAGAAAGGAAAGAAACAGAAUAGAAGAGACGAAACAGGGGAGAAACAGGGGAGAAAGAAGAAAAAGAAGAAAAUAGGGAAAAUAGGGUUUUUGAAGCUUGAAAUUUAAAUUGGUAAGUCAAAUUAGCCCUUUUCUCUUAAUUCUAAUGUUCUAAAAGCUUUAAAACAAAGUUUUGAUGGAAUUAAGUUGAUAUUUUGUAAGUUCAUAGGUUUUCAAGUAUAGUUUAUGUUGAACAAAAGAGAUGAAUUAGGGAUUAACUUGAAGGAAUUUUAAGUUAGAAUUGAAAAAGGGAUUAAAUUGUAAAAGAAACUAUAAGUUUUAUGUUUUAGGGACUAAAUUGAGGGAAAUUCGAAAUUAGCAAAAUAUGCUGAAAUUUUGAUAGUUAAAUUUUAGUUUGGAUGAAAUUUGAAUAGAAAUAGAGUGUGAAUUGAAUUAGGAAAGUAAGUGAAUUUAGUUAGGAUUAAAUUGAGAAUUAGGAAGAAAUUGAAUAGAAAUUCAAUUAUUUAUUAUAAUUAUAAUUAGUGCUGUAAUUAAUAUUACAAAUUAUUAUUAUUUUCGUAGCUAACAAAGAACCCGAGGCAUCGGCGUCAAAAGGAAAGGAGAAAGUUAUCGAGGACUAAAACGGGAGAAUAACGGUUUGUAUUACUAUAAUUCAAAUUAUUUAUUUUUAAAUGUUAAAUUUUAAUUUAUGUGUCUAGUAAAUGAAAUGUGAGGUAAGUAUUAAUAUUAGUAUUAGUAUUAUUAUUAGUAUUAUUAUUAUUAUUAUUAUUAUUAUGAGUGGGAAUUAAAUUGAAUAGUUGAUAUGAAAUAAUAUUUGAAUUGUUUGUUGAUUGAAAGCGGGAAAUGAAUUUGAAUCGAAUUGUGAAUGGUAUUAAAAAUUGUAUGGAAAUGUAUUGAGUUGUGAAAAUGUGUGAAGUUGUGAAAUAAUUAUUGAUUGAAAGGUGGAAAAAUGAUUGAAUUGAAAAUGUGAAAAAUUGUAAUUGAAUUGAGAAUAUAUGUGAUUUAAAUACCCUAUUAACUAGUCGGGCUGAGUCGGAUAUAGUUGGCAUGCCAUAGGAUUGGAAGAGUUCAGGGAUACUUCGACCUCGAGUCGAUGAGACACUGGGUGUCACUAUAUUUCUUCGGAUAGAUUCGAUGAGGUACUGGGUACCAACUUUCUUCGGCUUUGCCGAUGAGACACUGGGUGUCAACUAUUGCUUCGAACUAUCCGAUGAGGCACUGGGUGCCAUUCUGGUGUGUUUGGUUGGAUCCGUGUAUCCGUCAAAGUCCGAGUUUUGUUAAUAGGGUAAAUGAUGAAAUGAUAAACCGAACGAGUUGGUCAAACGAGCUAUUGAAAUGAUAUGAAAAAGUUGAAUUGUGAAUUGAAAUUAGAAAUGAGAUUGAGAAAUGAACCUAAGGUUCGUGAAUUAUUCAAACUCAAAUUGUGGAUAUACGAUAUUGGUUGAUGAAUUGCUAUUGUUGAAAUAUUUAAUUUAAAUUGUAUAUACGAUUUAUGCAUUACAUGUACAUUAUUGUUAUAAUUUGAAUUAUGGUAAUACCACUGAGUAUGAAUUACUCAGCGUACGGUUGUUUCCGUGCGCAGGUCAAUAGAAGUCAAAGGCCCCGGUUCAGCAUCCAGAUUAAUCCCGGCUUCGGCAAAACUUGGUGAUGUAUUUUUCUUUUGGUAAAGGUGGCAUGUACAUAGAUUGUGUAUAAAGGUUAUUAUGUUUUAUUAUAUAAUGGUUAAAAAUGUUAGUAUUAAAAGUUUAUGGAUUAUAAUGAAAGAAGUCUAUCUAUUUUAUCUAAUUAGUACAUUGUUAAAUUUUAAAUUGAUAUUGUGUAGAUUGAGUUUGAUUAGAAGUAUUUAGAAUAGAAAAUGUGAAUGUGAAAUGAAUUGGUUGAAUUGGUGAUAUUUGGGAACUAUAUGGUUUUAAUUUGCAGGGGGUUUUAUGUAAAAAUAAGCAGAAAUGCUGCCGAAAUUUUUAUAAAAAAAAAAUGAAGUCAUUUGGUAAACAAACUAAUAAAUUUUAUGAAUUAUUUUAAUAUAUUGGUUAUUUAUUUAAGAAUUGUUGUAAAUCGUUCGAUACGUCCGGUAAUGCCUCGUAAUUCUGUUCCGGCGACGGUUCGGGGUUAAGGGGUGUUACA
rnacentral:lncRNA from 1 species